GCGCCGGUGGUGUAAAGGCGUAGAGCAUUCCCGCCCGGUCAGAGGGAGGUGCGGGUUCGAGUCCCGCCUGGAGCU
rnacentral:tRNA from 1 species